rnacentral:lncRNA from 1 species
CCGAAUCAGCAUACAAUACUUACAAUUAUGAGAGGAAAAUGAACAACCAAUUGCCUGGUUCAGUUAGGCUUGAAGCUAGUAAGAUUGACAUAAAAACAUUUGUUUAAGAUAAAAUUGUAUCUUUUUUCUUUUUUUUUUUUGCUUAAUUUGGCAUUUCUAUAUGAUCUACUCUUAUUGUUGUAAUGAUUAUUGACACACUCAACCUUUGAAUAUAUGGAUAAAAAACCUUCAAAAUAUUUCCAUGUUCAAUCAUUGAGCAUUAGAGUAAUAUCAUCCAACCAACUAUUACACAAAACACAACUAAAAUUAUACAACAAAAGAAUAAGUCAAUGAUCAAUCUGUUAAGUCUGCUCCAAACUUCUCUGUCAUUAUCAUUUUGUUGAAGUAGCAAUUGCUGAAAACUCCCUUAUUGAGAACCUUUAUACGAUAUCCAAGAUGAAGAAUAAGGACAUAGAUGGGAUUGCUAGUUUGUACAAAAUAAGAACCAUAUUACAUUCCAGAAAAUAUAAAAUUAAUUAAGCAUAAAUAUAGAAACUGGAUUAUAACUUACAAUGUAAGAAUCAAAAGGAAACGAUGGAUAAAUAUCAUAUCCUUGUAAUUGGUAUAUGAUCACAUGUUCCUAAAUAAUGACCAUUAUUUAGUGACCAUUAAAAAUUAAAAAAAAAAUUAAAUAAUAUUACAUUAAAGAACAUAAAACUUACUGGAUCCUUAUUGCUCUCCUGCGGUGGGACUACAAUAUCCACCUCAGAAGAUAAUGGUGUUUGUACAUUUGAAUCCUGCAAAUCCAUAAAAAGAUACAUUAAAAUUAAAAUUAAAUUAAUUGUAGAAUAAUUAAGUAAGUAGUUUAAUCUUACCUUAAUUGUUGUCAUCUAAUUCUUCUUUUUUUGGCUCAUAAGAAGAUAAUGGUGUUUAUCAAACAACGUCAUACUUUUUUUGUUUCACAUCCACAUCAUUAUCAGUUUUUUUAUUAUUUCCAUCUAAAUUGUUGUUCAUCUAAUUCUUCAAAAUCUUCGACUUUGUAGUUUUUUUUUCAAAUCCUUCAUUUUUAUAUCAUGAAAAAUAAAUUAUAUUAAUCAUAUAUAAUUCAAACAAAAUCUACAUUUCAAAUAACUUAUUUCUAAUAAUUUUAAAAUAUAAAUACAAUAAAUCAAAACUUUCCUCAACAUGCUAAAUUUAAUUAGCUAGGUAGGUGAAAAAGGUCCAAAAUCGUCAAGCACACCUUCAAGUAAGGCUGGUCGGCGACAUGAUCGGUGAUGGGCUGGUCGGCGAUGGGCAUGGCGUGACAGCGAUGAUGGCUAGUCAACGAUGGGCGCGGCGUGACAACAAGUUUCGUGGGUGAGUGACAGCCUGAGAGAAACAGCUUGCUAGUGGGUGAGUGAGAGAGACAGAUCGGGUGAGAGAGAGAGAGAGAGAGAGAGAGACGGAGAAAAUAAGCGAGUGAGAGUGACGGUUAAGAAUUUUGGAAUUUUCAAAUUCUUUAGAUUCAAAUUCUUCUUCUUCCUAAUAAAUCAUUUCUACGCAAGAGACACGAUG